UGGGGAAUUUUGGACAAUGGGCGCAAGCCUGAUCCAGCCAUGCCGCGUGAGUGAAGAAGGCCUUCGGGUUGUAAAGCUCUUUCGGUGGGGACGAAACGGUUCGUGCUAAUACCAUGACCUAAUGACGGUACCCGAAGAAGAAGCACCGGAUAACUACGUGCCAGCAGCCGCGGUAAUACGUAGGGUGCAGGCGUUAAUCGGAAUUACUGGGCGUAAAGCGUGCGCAGGCGGUUUGCUAAGACAGAUGUGAAAUCCCCGGGCUUAACCUGGGAACUGCGUUUGUAACUGGCAAGCUAGAGUGUGGCAGAGGGGGGUGGAAUUCCAAGUGUAGCAGUGAAAUGCGUAGAUAUUUGGAGGAACACCGAUGGCGAAGGCAGCCCCCUGGGCUAACACUGACGCUCAUGCACGAAAGCGUGGGGAGCAAA
rnacentral:rRNA from 1 species